rnacentral:sRNA from 1 species
UGCGUUGGCCCGGUCCUUUCGGUCUCGGAUUCCUCAGCCCCCAGCCCCCCGAGGCGGUCGGGAUCGGGCCUUUCGCAGCAGCCAAAUCCCCAUACUGGACCAACGCGAGUUGGUCCUUUU